rnacentral:rRNA from 1 species
AGAUUGAACGCUGGCGGCAGGCCUAACACAUGCAAGUCGAGCGGUAGAGAGGUGCUUGCACCUCUUGAGAGCGGCGGACGGGUGAGUAAUGCCUAGGAAUCUGCCUAGUGGUGGGGGAUAACGUUCGGAAACGGACGCUAAUACCGCAUACGUCCUACGGGAGAAAGCGGGGGACCUUCGGGCCUCGCGCCAUUAGAUGAGCCUAGGUCGGAUUAGCUAGUUGGUGAGGUAAUGGCUCACCAAGGCGACGAUCCGUAACUGGUCUGAGAGGAUGAUCAGUCACACUGGAACUGAGACACGGUCCAGACUCGUACGGGAGCAGCAGUGGGGAAUA